AGUGAACGCUGGCGGUAGGCCUAACACAUGCAAGUCGAACGGCAGCACAGUAAGAGCUUGCUCUUACGGGUGGCGAGUGGCGGACGGGUGAGGAAUACAUCGGAAUCUACUUUUUCGUGGGGGAUAACGUAGGGAAACUUACGCUAAUACCGCAUACGACCUACGGGUGAAAGCAGGGGAACUUCUGACCUUGCGCGAUUGAAUGAGCCGAUGUCGGAUUAGCUAGUUGGCGGGGUAAAGGCCCACCAAGGCGACGAUCCGUAGCUGGUCUGAGAGGAUGAUCAGCCACACUGGAACUGAGACACGGUCCAGACUCCUACGGGAGGCAGCAGUGGGGAAUAUUGGACAAUGGGCGCAAGCCUGAUCCAGCCAUACCGCGUGGGUGAAGAAGGCCUUCGGGUUGUAAAGCCCUUUUGUUGGGAAAGAAAAGCAGCAGGUUAAUACCCCGCUGUUCUGACGGUACCCAAAGAAUAAGCACCGGCUAACUUCGUG
rnacentral:rRNA from 1 species